UUUUAUACACGUUUUAUUUUACCUUGAAAACCAAUGUAGUUUAAGCACCUAGGGACACCAUAGACAUUUCCUUCCCUAAAGAUGCUGAAAGCACUGAACAAGUACUGGCCUGCACAAAACCAUUUACAUUUGAUACGCUGAUAUAGCCUGUGGCAUACAGUAUUAAUAAUAGUUCUCAUUUUUACACUCUGUCCAACCUAAUCCACAUAAUUUGAAAAAUUUUGAAUCCAAAAUGCUUUGUGCAUGCACAUGUUCCAUGAACAUAUGUGUUUCUUUGUAGCCUCAGGAGAUGCAAGUCAAUAUAGCUUUAUAUACUUUAAGAAUGCUUUCCUGAUUCACCCUAGUUCAGGAUUUUAUUGAAAAUUACUUCCAUUUACUCAAUACUCAAUUUUAAAUGCUUUCUAUAGCUUCAUAUGUUGAUACAAUGUACUGUCAUCCUAGUCCAUUUUUUCAGAAAUGGCUGGUUUUUGUCAUCCUUUCCUUCUUUUUAAAGGCUUUACUCAUUCACUGGCUAAAUCCAUUCAUCCUUGAAGAUUAACAGUGUUCUUCCCUAUCUAGGGGACUACACCCUCCACCUCUUCAUUACUGGACUGCAUUGUACCAUUACCUUAACUUGUUCUCUUUAUGGCUGCUGGCACCUAUUUUAUUUGAUGAAGUGAAUCUCUCAUUAUAAGCUUAUUAGCAUCCAUGUCAAGACAAUGUGAAAAGUCCUCCUCUUUCAAGACUGAUGUAUACAAACAAGUAGAGAAUAGAAGACAUGAGGAAUCAUUUCACUGCCACGUGAAUACCUCUAACUCUAAUCGACAGGGUAAUUAAACCCCAAAGAUAUCCCAAGAAAGCAGCCUGGGUAGCUGUGAUCAUGCCAUGUAUGCAAUAUAGAACACAUUCUGUGAAAUAGGAUCAAAAUGGUUUCUGUGCAUUUUGUGUCACCAAAGCAGCUGUCCUGAUGAUUCACAUCCUAUUAAAUCCUAUUUAAUAUGCUUUGGGCAUGUCAUCAUCAAUUAAAAAUAGUUUUCAUUUCAGAAAACAUUUUGGAAUUUUGAAACUGGGAAUAGCUUCCUUUGGACAAAGACUCCUAAGGAUUCUCCUCUGUAGGACCCCUGUGCUUACCUCUCACGCCUCACGUUUGUAACAGUUCAGUGUCAGGCCUCCAUGGGAGAUCUCUAUAGGAGAAAUAAUUUUAUUUUUCUCCUCUCUCCCAAGUCUUCACCCAUAGUUUUUCCCAGAAUUGCCACUUGUCUGUAGUUUCUCUGCAGUUGCUACCACAUUAUUUCAACUCUUCAUCUGUGGAUGUAAUAGCCUAGUCAGAGAGCGAGAAAACCAGGUAAGUUUUCUCAUGGUGGGCUUGUGAGACUCUACAGAGUGUAAAGAAAUGAUGAUAGCUUCUUAUUAUAAACAACCUGCAGGUGGUGUUUUUCCUACUCUCUGUUUUCCUGUUUUCUCAAUGAUUGUUUAUAAGAAAGCUGUUUUUGUUAAUUAGCCAAUCAGGUGAAAUGUUGACCAAUAUAGUCUGUAUGUAUUGGAACAGUAUAAAAAGAGAGAAUUUUCGUAUUAAAGCUGCUGCUGUGCAAACCAGACUUCUGGUGAGUCUGUGUUGGUUUUUACUCAAUAGCGACAUUCAUUCUCUUUCUAGCUCCUAUUUUUUUUAUUAACCACCUUUAUAUCACUUGGGUUGCCUGCUCUUCUGAGUGUUCCAGCUGCAGGAACAGUGAUUUUUCCAUUUGUGGACAGUGAAUUUGUAAGGGGACAGAUGCAUCAGUUGAAUGCUUACACUAGACUGGAAUAGAAUAGUCUAUCUGGAAUAGAUCUAAAAUGAUCAUUCAGUUACAGUCCAACUGCCUGUUCCAUUCAAGGCUGAUCAAAUGCUAAAGCUUGGUAAUAAAGGUAUUGUCCAAAUGCCUCUUCAACACUGAUAGACAUGGGGGGAACCUCUUCAGAAGUCUGUUUCCAGGGUUUGACCACUCCAGGUAAAAAAAUAUUUCCUAAUGUCAGGUCUAUUGGGUCUGAUAAGAUUCAUCCCAUAGUAGUGAAGGAGCUAGCAGAUAUCACAAAAGGACCUGUUUGAUUUAUCUACACAAUAUUCCUGGGAGUCUGGGGAGGCCCCCAGUGACUGGUAGCUAACAAACACUACUCCAAUUUACAAGUCCUGGCAGAGUCUUGGGUGUGCUCACAGGCCUUAGUGGAUGGAACUUGCCUCUCCCCACUUCCUCCAUCUCCUGCCAAGGGCCCAGGGGAUGUGUCCCAGCUCAGCCUGGGACCUUCAGUCCCUGCCUGAGCCCUGCUAUAGGUGUGCCCAUCUCUGCCCCUGUCUCCUGGGUGGGCCUGGGACCUGCACUGCAGAGCUGCUCUGGGGUGGAGCCCUCAGACUUGGGUUGUAGCUUGUUAUGCAAAACUCUGCGUUUAAUGUGGCUUAACUGGUCUGUUCUAUUUCCUGUGCUCAUCAUGAGUCAAGUAACAAUGAUCAUUAUUUUCCAGAAAUGUCAAGGGCUUUUCAUCUCCUAAGACACAUUCAAGGACACAUAAUACACAGGUUAUAACUGGAAACAGGAUAUUAUUUUAAUUUUUAUUUUUCUUCAUCUGUUUUGGAAUUGAUGCUCACAACCAUUAACACAAUGUGCAUGUGUAGCCAGGAUCAGGCUGAUGUGUUCUUCAGUUUAGCUUUACAACCCAUCCUUUGUAGUCUGGAAAAGGAAAGUGACAGAGCUACAGAAUAUAGUAGCAGGAAUACAGGCCCAGCAGCUCUUGUUUCCUGAGGCAUGAGAACACAAAGACUGACUGUACCAACCUCACACAAAAAAGAAAGCAUAUGUGAUACUGUGGGAUAUUUUACAAAUUAUAACGCAUAUUGAUGACAAGCACAAUUUUUGCCAUCCAAGAUUUCCCUUGUUGCUGUGCUUCCUGGCCAGGGAUGCAUGGCCCGUGCUUGUGUUGCAUGCAGGAGAACUGAAGAAUGACAGCUCUGGAUGGAUGCAAGAAUCCCAUGGGAAAUGGAGCCAAGGGAAGAGCAGAGCUCAGCCCCACUCCAGGUUUGCAAUGGGCAAGAGAGCCAGAGAGAGCCAGGGCACAAGUGGUGCCUUGGAGGUGUGAGGGCAGCAGGCAAGAAUGGAGUCACAGGAGCCCAGAGGAGCCCUGACAGGGGCUGUUCCCAGUGCUACAGGAGGACAAGAAGCAACCCCCAGGCCACCCUUGGGACCCACCCUGGGAGUCUGGAAAGCUUCUUGCCCACAGCUGCAGGGUAUGACAGACCAUCUUCAUGGGGCAUGAGCAGCAGGCAGCAACCCAGCCAAAAGGGACUGAAGGAGCCCUGAACAGUGGUCAUGCUCAGUGCUGCAGAGGAAAGCAAAACUCCCUAGGAACCAGUGCCAGUCUGCCCUGGGGGAAGAUUCCUUCUUGACCCCAGUGCUACUGAUUUGCCAUCCUGAAAAUGGACUCUGGAAUUAAUGGACCCGGCAGAAACACAAAUCUUCUUAGACUAGAACCACAUCCCAUCCUGCUCCUUAACGAGAGACCGCUGGACAGGACAGCCCAGGGUCAGCCAGGCCAAGUGCCAAUAGCACAACAGAUAGAGUCUCCAAGGAAGCUCAGGUAAGUCCCUGGUCCAAAGAGAUGGAUCACUGAUUUUUUUUACUCUUUCCCUCUCAUAAUAAACCAAAACUCUUCAAGGGAUCUUUAAGAGAUCCUGCCCUUAAAAAUGACAACAGCCUGUGCACAGGGAGGGGCCAGGUGAGAGCUUGGUGCUGCCCUCAGCACUGAAGGGGGUCAGUGCAAGGAAAGAGCCAAGAAAAAGCUCAGAUCGACACACAUCCAUCUUCCUCCAACCGAGAACCCUGGAUAUUGGGCUCAUUCAUCAAAGCAGCAUGAACUUGGCUUUUAGACGUUUUACUUCACACUGAACGUGAACUAAACUUCUGCUCAGUUGGCACUGGUUGAGGUUAUGUAUUUUGAAGGUUCAAGAAGGUAGGGAUGAUCCUAUGAUGUGCUUAGGGCUUUUUCACUCGAAGAUAUUUCUGAGAAGAUGAGGCAGGAAAACUCCUCUAAAAAUUCCCUUCUCUACCAGGCUGGUUUCGAGCUAUAACUCACUUGAUCACUUCCCGUAGUUUUAGUAAAAGAUCCUAAGGAGAAAGAAAAUGUCCAGCUGCAAGCCUGGCUGGAGUGAUUUACAGCUCUCUGAAAUCUGCAGGCAAAGCAGCUUGGGAAGCACAGCAAGAACAGGCAGACCUGCCCUUGCUUGGGUGGCCCAGUCUGUGGCAAGCCCUACCACAAAGGAGAGAGAUUAAAACUCAGUGAAGUAUAGUUUUUCUCCACAUUUCUGACUGGUUUGCACAAAAAUUGUGCUUGUUGCUUACUUUUCAGCUAUCUAUCCAUUUUCAACUUUAUUUUUGAAUGGGAUGAGAGCAACAGAGAGUUUUAAUGGUCACUGAGCUAAUGACCACACCAUUGUGCCUCUCAACCGCAAUCCCAUGGGGCUGUAGAGAAGAAAAAAAGCUGAAUUUAAAAACAACCUGGCAAGUUUGUGCAGAGAUUGGCAUGACAUAUAAGGAUGUGCUUACCUCUCUGAGUGGUGCAGGCAAGCAGCAUCGAGAAUAAAGAAUAUGGGCUGUCACCUCACCAGAUUUCAAUAGGCCAGCCCAUGUGCCUGAUGUACAUAGCACCCUCCCGUCACUAAAACGCAAAACUAGCAGGUAACAUGCUUCUAAAGGAGAAGUGCUUGAACUAAUGACUUGAAACAGUUGUAAAAGUCAGAGGCACAAAUAAAUGAUGGUACAGCAUGCCCCACAUACCCCAUUUUUUCUCCUGAUGCCAUGUACCUGCAGGGGAGAAAGACAUGCUAGGGCAGAUUUGGAAGGCAGUCAAGGUUGCCAGUACAGAAGAGCGGACCAUGACAUCAGCAGUCCACACACUCCAUGGUUGGCAACCUAAGGGAGCAACGCACUGUGACCUCACAUCCCUCACUGCUUAUGUUUGGGCACGGGCAGUGUCUGCUUCAGACUCACUCGUGUCUGGACUCCUGGCAAGCGUGCCUGGGAGGACUGGAAGCCUGUGAGGCCAUUGGGAGCUGCUGUCAGCAACUCUCAGUUCUCAUGCACAAGACUUUGACUGUUUCCUUAGCCCUAUCUGGUUCAGGAAGCUAAGUACUGUGGCUGGUGCUUGCAGCAGCACAGGUGAGUGGUGCAGGAAAUGUGCUUCCAUAGGGUGGCCCUGGGGUGGGUGAUGGUGUCUGGGGAGCUGUGAGUGUGUCCUUCUUGAGGGGCUUGGGCAUUUCUUCUACCUGCCCAUUUCCCUGGGACUGCAAGUGACCAUUUUUCAGAGUGUCACGCCAACAAAGAAGGAGCAGCUGCUGUCCCCAGCUCUGCUACAACACGCAAGCAUGGCCACAGAGUGGAACUGCCCCAUCUGCCGUGACAUUCCAGCUGAAAUCGCUUCUGUAACACCCUGCGUCCACCUGUUCUGCCUGGGCUGCAUUGUGCGUUGGGCCAAGAGACAACCAUCGUGCCGCUGUGCAGACAGGCUAUCGGCAGCAUCAUUUACUCUGUUCGGUCCGACGAAGACUUUCUUGAGAUAGUUUUUCCAAGGCCCUCAGAGUCACCGGCUGCUCACCAGGAGGAUGAGCAGGAGGCUGCGGAGCCAAUGCCCAGGGCUUACGUAGCUGGCUUCCCACCUCAGCUCUGGGCAAAUUUUUUCCAGGACCGCUCAGAAAUCCUCG
rnacentral:lncRNA from 1 species